GGUGGUCCAACCAUCACAGCACACACUUGUAAUCCCAGCUACUGGCAAACCUUAGGCUAGUGUAUUUUUUGAACUUAGAAGUUCCGAGUUGCAAUGGGCUAUGCAGAUUGGGAGUCUCUACUAAGUUCAGCAUCAUAUGUUGAGCCCCUGGGAGCAGAGGUGCCACUAGGUCACCUAAGGAGGGGCACACUGGCCAAGGUUGGAAAACAGAGCAGGUCAAACGCCUGUGUUGAUCAUUAGUGAGAUUGAGUCAAUGAAUGGUUGCUGCACUUCAAGAAUAGAUGAGAUGGGGAGAUCCAGGU
ensembl:misc_RNA Metazoa_SRP Metazoan signal recognition particle RNA